CUUUUACGUCGGCCUUCGCGAGCGUCUGGGCGGGUGGUAGGUGAGUGGGUAUUGCGGGCUAGUAUCCGAGCAAAAGAUGGUGGCGCAGGCCGAGUUAAGAGCUUUAAUCCUGUGAAGACAUCUUAGUGAAGAGUUUAGAGUGCUGAGAGUUGAAAGCUUGCACGUGGGAAACGUGCGGCCGGACUGCCACAUGUACUGAGGUUGAGUCGUGACGGCCACAGGCUCCGAGUUUUGGCGUGAGGAACCGCUGAUCGGCCACGGGCGCCGAACUUGCUGGCCUCCGGCAUGUGCCUGAGCGGCGGCGGAAAAACCACCUUAAUUGGGGCGGAGGGUUAGUUUUAACAGCAAAGGGCCUUUACUAAAAUGGCGAAGGCCUUCCGUCGGCGUUGUUUUAAAAUGGGAAGCCUCGACCCUGUAUUGAAACUGAGCUGUUCGAAGGCGGCGUUGUGUGCAAUUCGGAUUAAUGAAGGGGAAGGGUUUUGUGUGGAAAAACGCCUUGGAGUGUGACAUUUCUGCGAGAAUGCUUAAAUACCGAUUUCCCGCAGGAACAAUGGCGCUGUCUUCAGUGGCACAGUGGAGCAGCUCUGAAGAUGCAAAGAUACACGAAAAAACUUCCAGAACAUCUGGGAGAAUAUUUAAUGGAAAAUCGCUUGGUUAAAACCUGACACUUUUAACAGGUAUGUGUUGUUUUAGUACUUUAUGAUUGAGCAUAGCAUUUAAUCCACACCUAGACUAAAUCAAAUUUUUUUUGUCAGUGAACAGCGUUCUGAGUGUGGACGAGUAGCCAGUGAAGAUAAUGAAUGUCGAAUGUGACUGACUAGCAGCUUCAUUUUGAAUGAGGGUCGCUGUCUGCCCAUUGAUAGAGGCCAGAUUGUCUUGGAAGUUCCAAAGUUGCAACGAUUUCUGGCUAGUGCCACGAGGUUUACUUGACUGUUGUGUGAAAAGCUGAUAAGAAAACCAUCCAGAAAAAAGCUCUUCGUUUUACAAACAUGAAAAUAAAACAUGUAAUUUUG
rnacentral:lncRNA from 1 species